rnacentral:rRNA from 1 species
AAACUCAAAGGAAUUGACGGGGACCCGCACAAGCGGUGGAUUAUGUUCUUUAAUUCGAUGAUAAAACGAAGAACCUUACCAGGGUUUGACAUCCUUGGAAGCACUACGAAAGUAGAGUGUGCCUUUUGGAACCAAGUGACAGAUGUUGCAUGGCCGUCGUCAGCUCGUGUCGUGAGAUGUUUGGUUAAGUCCAUCAACGAGCGCAACCCUUGUCUCCAGUUGUAUUUUUCUGGAGAUACUGCCCCGGUAACGGGGAGGAAGGAGGGGAUGAUGUCAGGUCAGUAUUACUCUUACAUCCUGGGCUAGAAACGUAAUACAAUGGCUGGUACAAUGCGCAGCGAAGCCGCGAGGUGAAGCAAAUCGCAUCAAAGCCAGUCCCAGUUCGGAUUGGAGGCUGAAACUCGCCUCCAUGAAGUCGGAAUCGCUAGUAAUCGCAGGUCAGCAAACUGCGGUGAAUACGUUCCCGGGUCUUGUACACACCGCCCGUCAAACCAUGAAAGUGACCAACACCCGAAGUCCGAUUCGUCGGCCUAAGGUGGGGGGCAUGAUUGGGGUUAAGUCGUAACAAGGUAUCCGUACCGGAAGGUGCGGAUGGAUCACCUCCUUUAUG